UACGUAGGGCGCAAGCGUUAUCCGGAAUUACUGGGCGUAAAGAGCUCGUAGGUGGUUUAUCGCGUUGUUCGUGAAAAUCUCACGGCUUAACUGUGAGCGUGCGGGCGAUACGGGCAGACUAGAGUACUGCAGGGGAGACUGGAAUUCCUGGUGUAGCGGUGGAAUGCGCAGAUAUCAGGAGGAACACCGGUGGCGAAGGCGGGUCUCUGGGCAGUAACUGACGCUGAGGAGCGAAAGCGUGGGGAGCGAACAGG
rnacentral:rRNA from 1 species